rnacentral:rRNA from 1 species
AGAGUUUGAUCCUGGCUCAGAACGAACGCUGGCGGCGCGUCUUAAGCAUGCAAGUCGAACGGCAAGGCAGGUGCUUGCACCUGCCCUAGAGUGGCGGACUGGUGAGUAACACGUGGGUGACAUGCCUUUUAGUUGGGGAUAGCUACUAGAAAUAGUAGAUAAUACCGAAUGUGAUCAAUAUUUAUAGAUGAUGUUGAGGAGAGGAGCUAAGGCUUCGCUAAAAGAUUGGCCCGCGGCCCAUUAGCUAGUUGGUAGGGUAAAGGCUUACCAAGGCGAUGAUGGGUAUCCGGCCUGAGAGGGUGAUCGGACACAUUGGGACUGAGAUACGGCCCAGACUCCUACGGGAGGCAGCAGCUAAGAAUAUUCCACAAUGGACGAAAGUCUGAUGGAGCGACGCCGCGUGGAUGAUGAAGGCCGAAAGGUUGUAAAAUCCUUUUACACUGGAGGAAUAAGCAGAGUAGGGAAUGACUCUGUGAUGACUGUACAGUUUGAAUAAGCAACGGCUAAUUACGUGCCAGCAGCCGCGGUAACACGUAAGUUGCGAGCGUUGUUCGGAAUUAUUGGGCGUAAAGGGCAUGUAGGCGGAUUUGCAAGCUUGAUGUGAAAUCCCGCAGCUUAACUGCGGAACUGCAUUGAGAACUGCAAGACUAGAGUUACUGAGGGGAAACUAGAAUUCCAAGUGUAGGGGUGAAAUCUGUAGAUAUUUGGAAGAAUACCAAUGGCGAAGGCAAGUUUCUGGCAGAUAACUGACGCUGAGGUGCGAAGGUGCGGGGAGCAAACAGGAUUAGAUACCCUGGUAGUCCGCACAGUAAACGAUGUACACUAGGUGUUUGACCAUGAGGUUGAGUGCCAUAGCUAACCGCAUAAGUGUACCGCCUGGGAAGUAUGCCCGCAAGGUGAAUUUCAAAGGGAAUUGACGGGGGGCCCGCACAAGCGGGUGGAGCAUGUGGUUUAAUUCCAAGGGUACGCCGAGGAACCUUUACCUGGGUUUUAA